rnacentral:rRNA from 1 species
AGAGUUUGAUCCUGGCUCAGGACGAACGCUGGCGGCGUGCCUAACACAUGCCAGUCGAGCGAGUGGAGUUCUUCGGAACAAAGCUAGCGGCGGACGGGUGAGUAACACGUGGGCAACCUGCCUCAUAGAGGGGAAUAGCCUCCCGAAAGGGAGAUUAAUACCGCAUAAGAUUGUAGCUUCGCAUGAAGUAGCAAUUAAAGGAGCAAUCCGCUAUGAGAUGGGCCCGCGGCGCAUUAGCUAGUUGGUGAGGUAACGGCUCACCAAGGCGACGAUGCGUAGCCGACCUGAGAGGGUGAUCGGCCACACUGGGACUGAGACACGGCCCAGACUCCUACGGGAGGCAGCAGUAGGGAAUCUUCGGCAAUGGGGGCAACCCUGACCGAGCAACGCCGCGUGAGUGAAGAAGGUUUUCGGAUCGUAAAGCUCUGUUGUAAGUCAAGAACGGGUGUGAGAGUGGAAAGUUCACACUGUGACGGUAGCUUACCAGAAAGGGACGGCUAACUACGUGCCAGCAGCCGCGGUAAUACGUAGGUCCCGAGCGUUGUCCGGAUUUAUUGGGCGUAAAGCGAGCGCAGGCGGUUUGAUAAGUCUGAAGUUAAAGGCUGUGGCUCAACCAUAGUUCGCUUUGGAAACUGUCAAACUUGAGUGCAGAAGGGGAGAGUGGAAUUCCAUGUGUAGCGGUGAAAUGCGUAGAUAUAUGGAGGAACACCGGUGGCGAAAGCGGCUCUCUGGUCUGUAACUGACGCUGAGGCUCGAAAGCGUGGGGAGCGAACAGGAUUAGAUACCCUGGUAGUCCACGCCGUAAACGAUGAGUGCUAGGUGUUGGAUCCUUUCCGGGAUUCAGUGCCGCAGCUAACGCAUUAAGCACUCCGCCUGGGGAGUACGACCGCAAGGUUGAAACUCAAAGGAAUUGACGGGGGCCCGCACAAGCGGUGGAGCAUGUGGUUUAAUUCGAAGCAACGCGAAGAACCUUACCAGGUCUUGACAUCCCGAUGCUAUUUCUAGAGAUAGAAAGUUACUUCGGUACAUCGGUGACAGGUGGUGCAUGGUUGUCGUCAGCUCGUGUCGUGAGAUGUUGGGUUAAGUCCCGCAACGAGCGCAA